UACGAAGGGGGCUAGCGUUGCUCGGAAUCACUGGGCGUAAAGGGCGCGUAGGCGGAUCUUUAAGUCGGGGGUGAAAGCCCAGGGCUCAACCCUGGAAUUGCCUUCGAUACUGAAGAUCUCGAGACCGGAAGAGGUUAGUGGAACUGCGAGUGUAGAGGUGAAAUUCGUAGAUAUUCGCAAGAACACCAGUGGCGAAGGCGGCUAACUGGUCCGGUUCUGACGCUGAGGCGCGAAAGCGUGGGGAGCAAACAGG
rnacentral:rRNA from 1 species